UACGAAGGGGGCUAGCGUUGCUCGGAAUCACUGGGCGUAAAGCGCACGUAGGCGGGUUCUUAAGUCAGGGGUGAAAUCCUGGAGCUCAACUCCAGACUGCCUUUUGAUACUGGGAAUCUCGAGUCCGGGAGAGGUGAGUGGAACUGGCGAGUGUAGAGGUGAAAUUCGUAGAUAUUCGGAGGAACACCAGUGGCGAAGGCGGCUCACUGGUCCAUUACUGACGCUGAGGUGCGAAAGCGUGGGGAGCAAACAGGG
rnacentral:rRNA from 1 species